UACGUAGGGGGCAAGCGUUGUCCGGAAUCAUUGGGCGUAAAGAGCGUGUAGGCGGCCCGGUAAGUCCGCUGUGAAAGUCCAGGGCUCAACCCUGGGAUGCCGGUGGAUACUGUCGGGCUCGAGUCCGGAAGAGGAGAGUGGAAUUCCUGGUGUAGCGGUGAAAUGCGCAGAUAUCAGGAGGAACACCGGUGGCGAAGGCGGGUCUCUGGGAAGUAACUGACGCUGAGAAGCGAAAGCGUGGGUAGCGAACAGG
rnacentral:rRNA from 1 species